GAUGAACGCUGGCGGCGUGCCUAAUACAUGCAAGUCGAGCGAACAGACGAGGAGCUUGCGGCUCUGACGUUGCCGACGGACGGGUGAGUAACACGUGGAUAACCUACCUAUAAGACUGAGAUAACUGCGAGAAACCGGAGCUAAUACCGGAUAAGAUAUUCAACCGCAUGGUGCAAUAGUGAAAUACGGUUUUUGUGUCGCUUAUAGGUGGAUCCGCGCGGCAUUAGCUAGUUGGUAAGGUAACGGGUUACCAAGGCAACGAUGCGUAAACGAACUGAGAGGGUGAUCGGCCACCCGGGAGCUGAGCCACGGUCAAUACUCCUACGAGAGGCAGCAGUAGGGAAUCUGCCGCAAUGGGCGAGAGCUUUGCGGAGCAACGCCGAGUGAGUGAUGACGGCGUCGGGAGCGUAAAGCCCUGUUACUAGGUAAGAACAAAUGUGUAAGUAACUGUGCACGUAUUGACGGUACCUACUCAGAAAGCCCCGGCUAACUACGUG
rnacentral:rRNA from 1 species